ensembl:snRNA U6 U6 spliceosomal RNA
GUACUCUCUUCAGAACCAUAUAUACUAAAAGUGAAAUGAUACACAGAAGAUUAACAUGGCCCCUGCAUAAGAAUGACAUGCAAAUUUGUGAAGUGCUUCAUCUUUUU